rnacentral:rRNA from 1 species
CGCGGCCUAUCAGCUUGUUGGUGAGGUAAAGGCUCACCAAGGCAUCGACGGGUAGCUGGUCUGAGAGGACGAUCAGCCACACUGGAACUGAGAUACGGUCCAGACUCCUACGGGAGGCAGCAGCAGGGAAUCUUGCGCAAUGGGCGAAAGCCUGACGCAGCGACGCCGCGUGGGGGAUGAAGGCCUUAGGGUUGUAAACCCCUUUCACGAGGGAAGAAGAUGACGGUACCUCGAGAAGAAGCCCCGGCCAACUACGUGCCAGCAGCCGCGGUAAGACGUGGGGGGCGAGCGUUGUCCGGAUUUAUUGGGCGUAAAGGGCUCGUAGGCGGCUUGACAAGUCGGCCGUGAAAACCCAGGGCCCAACCCUGGGACGCCGGUCGAUACUGUCAUGGCUAGGGUCCGGUAGAGGGGAAUGGAAUUCCCGGUGUAGCGGUGAAAUGCGCAGAUAUCGGGAGGAACACCAGUAGCGAAGGCGGUUCCCUGGGCCGGUACCGACGCUGAGGAGCGAAAGCGUGGGUAGCAAACAGGAUUAGAUACCCUGGUAGUCCACGCCGUAAACGGUGGGUGCUAGCUGUGGGCCACAUUCCACGUGGUCCGUGACGAAGUUAACACAUUAAGCACCCCGCCUGGGGAGUACGG